CCUCCUUAUCAUAUGGAGGGUUGUCAGGAACAAUAAGCCCUUGCCAAGUUAAUAAAUUAGCUUCAUCAAGCUGGAUGUUACCGAAGUUUUUCAUUCCACAUUUGCAGAUUUCUUUAAGGUCUUUCAUCAGCCUCCUGCUGGCUAACAUUUGGUGCCGAGACCCAGGAGGGUUCCAUGGGGAUGGGGAGCCAUCACCCCGGCUUUGGUCACCCCGAGUUUUCUACUUAGCAGUAGGCAGCAACAGCUUUUCCUGGGCUUAUCUCUGAAUCCUACUUGGGUGACUCAAUUGCCGGCCUCAAUCAGGCCUCCCUUCUUUAUGGGGAUCCCCCCUCAACCCCAGCCAGCCAGCCAAGGAGGACGCCGGACAGGGAAUCUCUCCUUCUCCAAUGCUAACCCUCCAUCCCACACCAGCCAAUCUUCUCUAAGAAGACCCUUUCAUCUCAACCACCUCCUGAGGGUUCCCCAGGACAGGGGAAAGGAGAGCUGCAGAGCUGAGCCAUGGCCCCGAGCAGCCUUUACCAGCAUGUUCGGGGAAGUGUUUUCUUCAGAAGCCUACAGAAUGACCUCUGACUCUACUCCAGAGCUAUUUGCUGAGUGUCUUACAAAGGGAUGGAGAAAUGAGAAAUUCCAUCCCUGUCCUCAAGAAGUUUAGAGUAAGGGCCCUGGCCAGUAUUUCUCAGUGGUUGGAGUGUCAGCCCGCGUUUGGAAGGGAGGAGGGUUAGAUUCCCCGUCAAAGGUUAGAGGCACAUAUCUGGUUUUGGGUUUGAUCCCCAGCCCUAGUAA